AGAGAAAGAAGAAACAGUAAAUCCAGUGCUAUUGAAGCAUCUUAAAACCAUAGAUGAAAAACAACCGAACGCAGUGAUACAAUUAAAGAAGUCAGACGGAACAUGGGAUUUAGAAAUAAUAAGGCGC